rnacentral:rRNA from 1 species
GACGAACGCUGGCGGCGUGCCUAAUACAUGCAAGUAGAACGCAGUUGCGAACGGGUGAGUAACGCGUAGGUAACUGCCUCAUAGCGGGGGAUAAAUAUUGGAAACGAUUGCUAAUACCGCCUACUGUGAGAUGGACCUGCGUUGUAUUCGCUAGUUGGUGCGGUAAAGGCUCACCACGGAGACGAUACAUAGCCGGCCUGAGAGGGUGACCGGCCACACCGGGACUGGGACCAGGCCCAGAACUCCACUGGAGGCAGCAGUAGGGAAAUAUCGGAAAAGGACGGAAGUCUGACCGAGCAAAGCCGGGGGAGUGAAGAAGGUUUUCGGAUCGGAAAGGUCUGUUGUUAGGGAAGCGGUAACUAACCAGAAAGCGACGGCUAACUACGUGCCAGCAGCCGCGGUAAUAC